GUCAGUGUGGCGUAGUGGUUUGAGCAUUAAACUAUGACUCUGGAGACCAGGAUUUGAUUCCUGCUUGGCUA